ACUUCACUUCACUUUUCACUUUAAUCUGAAUGCCAUUGGCCAACACAAAACCCUAACAUCAAAUCUGCAACUCCAUUUUCGUUUCACCUCAGAAAUACCCUAAUUUCUUUUUUCUCUUCCCCAUUCCCGAUUCAGUCGAUGCUGCCAUGAACACAGCUUAGUUCAAUCCCCCAAAUCGGCGAUUCCCAAGAUGUCGCUCCACGGCGGCAGCUCCAGCGACCGCCGGGACGCGCCGUCUCCGGGGACGGGGAAUGCCGGCGGAAAAGGCAACGUGGUCGUGGCGUCGAGCCAGAGGCUGCGGCUGAACCCUAACAAGGACCACAAGCCAGAGGAUUACGCAGACAUGCAAUUAGAUUUCAGCCCUUCCAUUUUCAGUUCUUUGGAGAGGUAUCUUCCUCCGAACAUGCUCAAUGUGCCUCGUGAUGAAAAGGCCAAGUUCAUGCGCGAGAUUCUCCUCAAGUAUCUGCCCCUCGGAGAGCGCAACAGAGCUCAAAAGCAUAGGGAAUACAGACAGAAGAUAAUAUCAAAUUAUCAGGUAUGUAGUAACCAAAAGCCUCUACAUCGAGAGCUAUACUCUAUGAAUCCUGCUACAUUCUUUGUCCCUGCAUUUCUGAAAGCAAUUAAUGAUAAUACAGAGCAAAGCUUUAGAAGCGUCAUGUCUGAGCCCUCUCCAGGCAUUUUUGUAUUUGACAUGUUUCAACCAAGCUUUUGUGAGUUAUUGCUAUCUGAGAUUGAAAAUUUUGAGAAGUGGGUGACUGAAACAAAAUUUCGGAUCAUGCGUCCCAAUACCAUGAAUAAAUAUGGUGCUGUACUUGAUGACUUUGGGCUUGAAACAACACUUGACAAGCUCAUGGAAGGUUUCAUUCGUCCUUUAUCUAGAGUCUUCUUUGCAGAAGUUGGUGGAUCAACCCUGGAUUCUCAUCAUGGUUUUGUUGUUGAAUAUGGUAAAGAUAGAGAUGUUGACUUGGGUUUCCAUGUGGAUGAUUCGGAGGUAACCUUAAAUGUUUGCUUGGGUAAGCAAUUUUCUGGAGGGGAAUUGUUUUUUCGUGGCACACGAUGUGAGAAACAUGUAAAUACCGGAAGUCAUUCAGAGGUGGUUGUACACUUUUUUUAUGGAGUCCAUUAUUUGAAAGCAGGAGAUCUUUGAUUAUUCUCAUGUCCCUGGACGAGCUGUGCUUCAUCGUGGUCGUCAUCGCCAUGGUGCUAGAGCUACAACAUCUGGUCAUCGAGUCAACCUACUUCUGUGGUGCAGAAGUUCUGUCUUUAGAGAGAUGAAACGGUAUCAAAAAGAUUUCUCCAGCUGGUGUGGCGAGUGCAAUCGUGAGAAAAAGGAAAAGCAACGCUCCACAAUUGCUGCUACCAGAUUGGAAUUGUUCAGGAGGGAAAGUGAAUCCGCCGCAUAAUCUAUUUUGCUCAGUGGAUGAUUGUAAAAUGAUGUUGCUGCAAUCAUUUGUCAAUACAAGUAAUCUUGAUUCCUGAUCCAGGUGUCUGUACAAGUUAUCAGCUUUGUUGUGAUAAUUUUAGUUAAAUAAUUUAGGUGUCUUCCUUAGAAAUUGUACUAUUUAUCCCAUGCCUAUUUAAUGUCUUUGAUGGGGGUAUGUAGGUUGGUUUAAUGCUGAUUGACCAUUGUAUUUUUUAUGCAUAUAACCUCAGAAUCCUGUCUAGAAAUAUAGAUUUAGACUGUAAUUAAUGUCUGUUGAAGUCUUUUGAGGUUCAUUGGCUUAACCAACAUCUAGUUUCCUUUGCUACAUGUAACUAAUCCCUUUUUUGUUCAUUAAUUUUUUUGAAGAAUGCUUACUAGGGCUUUAAGGAUUAAGGGCACUGAUCAAGGAAUUAAGUAGUUAUAUA